rnacentral:sRNA from 1 species
AUGCACCUAUGUACACCGCAGUUCCUGCGCGCUGUCCGCACCCACCCGACAGCGACUCGCGACGUUUUGUCAACC